AGAAUAGCUACUGAUGCAAUUACUAGUGAAAGAUAUUCUUCAUUUAUGAUUAAUAAAGCAUUAUACACAUUAGUUUAUGGUGGAUUGAAACCAGGAGUACCUUAUUAUGUAUCAGUUGUAGCAGCCAAUCAAGUUGGUGAGAGAAAAUCAGAAACUGCUAUUGUAUUCACCAAAACCGACAGUAGUGUUACAGUAUCACUUUCUAAUGUACAAGCAAUGAGAAUAGGAGAUACAAUAGUGUUAUCAUGGGAUAUAGUGACACUAGAAGA